rnacentral:rRNA from 1 species
CGACUUCUCAAGAGUUGACCUCGAAUCAGGUAGGACUACCCGCUGAACUUAAGCAUAUCAAUAAGCGGAGGA